UACGUAGGGUGCGAGCGUUAAUCGGAAUUACUGGGCGUAAAGCGUGCGCAGGCGGUUCGCCAAGUCAGGUGUGAAAUCCCCGGGCUUAACCUGGGAAUUGCGCUUGAAACUAGCGAGCUUGAGUGUGGCAGAGGGGGGUGGAAUUCCACGUGUAGCAGUGAAAUGCGUAGAGAUGCGGAGGAACACCAGUGGCGAAAGCGACUUUCUGGUCCUUAACUGACGCUGAGGCGACGGAAAGCAUGGGGAGCGAACGGG
rnacentral:rRNA from 1 species